CAUGCAAGUCGAGCGGUAGCACAAGGGAGCUUGCUCCCUGGGUGACGAGCGGCGGACGGGUGAGUAAUGUCUGGGAAACUGCCUGAUGGAGGGGGAUAACUACUGGAAACGGUAGCUAAUACCGCAUAACGUCGCAAGACCAAAGAGGGGGACCUUCGGGCCUCUUGCCAUCAGAUGUGCCCAGAUGGGAUUAGCUAGUAGGUGGGGUAAUGGCUCACCUAGGCGACGAUCCCUAGCUGGUCUGAGAGGAUGACCAGCCACACUGGAACUGAGACACGGUCCAGACUCCUACGGGAGGCAGCAGUGGGGAAUAUUGCACAAUGGGCGCAAGCCUGAUGCAGCCAUGCCGCGUGUGUGAAGAAGGCCUUCGGGUUGUAAAGCACUUUCAGCGAGGAGGAAGGUGGUGAACUUAAUACGUUCAUCAAUUGACGUUACUCGCAGAAGAAGCACCGGCUAACUCCGUGCCAGCAGCCGCGGUAAUACGGAGGGUGCAAGCGUUAAUCGGAAUUACUGGGCGUAAAGC
rnacentral:rRNA from 1 species